rnacentral:rRNA from 1 species
AAUGAACGUUGGCGGCGUGGAUUAGGCAUGCAAGUCGAACGGGCCGCAAGGCCAGUGGCGGAAGGGUGAGUAAUGCGACGGUAACCAACCCCCGGAAAUGGGUAUAGCCGCGGGAAACUGCGGGUAAUCCCCAGCGACGUGUCGGGUCGGCAUCGACCUGACACCAAAGCUCCGGCGUUCCGGGACGGGCCGUUGUGGUAUUAGCUAGUUGGCGGGGUAACGGCCCACCAAGGCUGCGAUGCCUACCGGGCGUGCGAGCGUGCCCGGCACACUGGGACUGAGACACUGCCCAGACUCCUACGGAGGCUGCAGUCGAGAAUC